rnacentral:rRNA from 1 species
AGGUCGGUCCCUAUCUUCCGUGGGCGUACGAUAUUUGAGAAAAUCUGCCUCUAGUACGAGAGGAUCGAGGUGGACGAACCUAUGGUGAGUCAGUUGUUGUGCUAACAGCAUGGCUGAGUAGCUAAGUUCGGAAAGGAUAAACGCUGAAAGCAUAUAAGCGUGAAGCCUGCUUUAAGACUAGAUAUCGUUCUCUAAUUUAUUAGGGUGAAGACAUCUUAAAGACUAUGAGAUUGAUAGGCCAGGUGUGUAAGUCCGGUAACGGAUUCAGCUAACUGGUACUAAUUUGUCGAAAAGCUUGAUCAC